CGCGUAGGCGGCCAUCUUUGUCAGGCGUGAAAGCCCCGGGCUCAACCUGGGAAUUGCGUCUGGGACGGGGUGGCUAGAGAUCGGGAGAGGAGCGUGGAAUUCCCAGUGUAGAGGUGAAAUUCGUAGAUAUUGGGAAGAACACCGGUGGCGAAGGCGGCGCUCUGGACCGAUACUGACGCUGAGGCGCGAAAGCGUGGGGAGCAAACA
rnacentral:rRNA from 1 species